AUUGAACGCUGGCGGCAUGCUUUACACAUGCAAGUCGAACGGCAGCGCGGGGCAACCUGGCGGCGAGUGGCGAACGGGUGAGUAAUACAUCGGAACGUGCCUAGUAGUGGGGGAUAACUACUCGAAAGAGUGGCUAAUACCGCAUGAGAUCUACGGAUGAAAGCAGGGGAUCGCAAGACCUUGUGCUACUAGAGCGGCCGAUGGCAGAUUAGGUAGUUGGUGGGAUAAAAGCUUACCAAGCCGACGAUCUGUAGCUGGUCUGAGAGGACGAUCAGCCACACUGGGACUGAGACACGGCCCAGACUCCUACGGGAGGCAGCAGUGGGGAAUUUUGGACAAUGGGCGAAAGCCUGAUCCAGCAAUGCCGCGUGCAGGAUGAAGGCCUUCGGGUUGUAAACUGCUUUUGUACGGAACGAAAAGCUCUGGGUUAAUACCCUGGGGUCAUGACGGUACCGUAAGAAUAAGCACCGGCUAACUACGUGCCAGCCGCCGCUGUAACAC
rnacentral:rRNA from 1 species